AGGUGUGGAUAGGGGAGAAAUUCCAAUCGAACCCGGAGAUAGCUGGUUCUCCUCGAAAUAGCUUUAGGGCUAGCCUCGAUACAGAUUUGCGGAGGUAGAGCACUGAAUUUCCUAGGGGGCGUCAAAGCCUACCGAAGAAUAUCAAACUCCGAAUGCCGCGUAAUCGAUUAUCGGGAGUCAGACUGCACGAGAUAAGUUGGGCGGUCAAAAGGGAAAGAGCCCAGACCUUCAGUUAAGGUCCCCAAGUGCGCGUUAAGUGGAAAAGGAUGUGGGAUUUCGAAGACAACCAGGAUGUUGGCUCAGAAGCAGCCAUCCAUUCAAAGAGUGCGUAAUAGCUCACUGGUCGAGAGGUCCUGCGCCGAAAAUGUCCGGGGCUGAAACGCGCCACCGAAACUAAGGAACCGAAAGGUUGGUAGAGGAGCAUUGCAUGCGGAACGAAGCAGUACCGUAAGGAGCUGUGGACUGCAUGGAAGAGAGAAUGCCGGAAUGAGUAGCGAGAAUAAGGUGAGAAUCCUUAUGGCCGAAUAUCCAAGGUUUCCAGAGUAAAGCUGAUCUGCUCUGGGUAAGUCGGGGCCUAAGGCGAGGACGAGAGUCGUAGCCGAUGGACAACAGGUGGAGAUUCCUGUACUGCGGUAUGACAGAACUGUGGGGACACGUAAGGAAAGCGGAAGCCGGGAAUGGAAAGCCCGGUGCAAGCGGGGUACCAGUCACUUUGGCAAAUCCGGGUGGCAAUGGGAAGCCGUGAUGCGGAGUGAAAUAAAGUAACGAAGUCCGUGAGCCAUGCGUCAAGAAAAGCCGCUAUUGUUUAUACCGUACCCGUACCGUAAACCGACACAGGUGGAUGAGGAGAGAAUCCUAAGGCCGGCGGAAGAAGCAUUGUCAAGGAACUCGGCAAAAUGGCCCCGUAACUUAGGGAUAAGGGGUGCCUGGGAAACCAGGCCGCAGAGAAUAGGCUCAAGCAACUGUUUAGCAAAAACACAGGUCUAUGCGAAACCGAAAGGUGAGGUAUAUGGGCUGACGCCUGCCCGGUGCUGGAAGGUUAAGAGGAGAGGUUAGCGCAAGCGAAGCUUUGAAUUUAAGCCCCAGUAAACGGCGGCCGUAACUAUAACGGUCCUAAGGUAGCGAAAUUCCUUGUCGGG
rnacentral:rRNA from 1 species